GUCAAGUAAAAUGGACUAUCCUAUAUUCAUUGGUUAUGUUUUUUGUGCCCCAUAUACUAAUAUUUUUAUUUAUUUACCCAACUCAAAAUAGUACAGCUUCAAAUCAGAAAGAUAAAAUUCAAAAUGCAUUUUACGAUAAAAGAACCACUCUACGAACAGAAGGUUACAUUCAGAAAAAUGCAAGUGUUAUCAAUCAUAACAUUCUAUUCCAAAUUAUUCAAAAUCUUACAAACACCAAGGCUCCGAACUUAAAAUCAAACGUUUUCGAUAAAAUGCUGUCCGAUGAAAUGCUAUCUAUCAAGAGACAUUUUUAUGAUAAAGACGUAAGAAGCACAACGUCUGUCACGACCUCUACUAAAAACAAUCCUCCCACCCCAACUUUAGAAUUGAAACAAAAAUGGCCUCUAAUAGGGUUCACUGAAAAGCCAGUUAAUAUAAUCAGGAAUGAAAAUUCAUUGAAAACUAACAAUAAGAUUAGAAAAAUCCUGCCAGCUUUCAAAAUUGGCGAUAAAAGUGACAAUAUUGAAGAAGAAUUGCAGAACGUGGGGAAAACUAUAGAUAAAAACGAUAAAGUUUUGGGUUUGAGAAGCUUACCUGAAGUAAGGCAACCUUCUCACCGUAAUAUUUACCAACAAACGGAGUACAAGAUGUGUACAUGUAUGAAAACAAAUCCAUCUACUUGUAGUCACCGUUGUACUGGAGGCUCAACUGCUUGCUCUCACAGUACUCCCACUAGCAAUUGCCUUCAUUGUACACAAACAAUUCCACAAUAUACCAUUUCCCCUAUAUAUUAUCAGCCAUACUUUGUCGGUAUGACAACACAUGUACCGUAUAUAAACGCUUACUAUCAUCCCGAUGUGAUAAACGAGUUAAAAGUUCCAAGAAAACCGAAACAUAGAAAAACUACUACACCUCAUAUCGACAAAGAAUUAUAUUAUGACACCGAUGAUCCUAAUUCGGACCAGCAUAAAGAUAACUAUGAUGAAAAUUUAGAUUAUUAUGAAGAUGUAAGUAAACAUAAUAAAAAUGAAGAGAAAGAGCACACUAUAAAAUUACAUGCGGUUGACAGAGAUGAAAAAGGGAAACGUAAACAUAAGCACAAAAAUUGCCAUGUGAAGGGUGACACUCGAAAAAAAAUGGUUCAAGAUAUCUUUGAUGAUUUGAAGACUUAUUACAGUGAUUCUGUGAUAAAAGAUUGCUAUUGUACAUCCUCGUCUUCAUUGGUUGACAUCAAUAACGUUUUACUGUUUGUUGCGUAUCUCUUAUGUGUGCUAUAAAUAAUUAUAAUUCAAUAAACUCGACACAUUC